AUGUACAGGUGGUGGAAUAAUCUGCAAGUUCAUUCAAGGCUCCCGUUCGCUCGGGAUAGACUCGUGGAAUGUUAUUUGUGGAUGUUGGGAGUAUACUACCAACCCAACUGUUCACGGGGCCGAAUAAUACUUACGUUCGUGAUUUACACUACAACCAUCAUCGAUGAUAUUUAUGAUUCAUUUGGAACAUCAGAAGAGUGUGAAUUGUUUACCGAGUGGGUAGAAAGUUGGGAUCCAAAGGUAGCUCAUGUUCUCCCAAAGUGCAUGCAAUAUGCAUUGGAAAAAAUUAUGGACUGCCAUCAGAUCAUUGAUAACAAGCUAGCACCGGAGGAUAAAUACCGUAUGACCUACCUCAGAAACUUUACAGUGGAUCUAGUUAGAAAUUACAACAAAGAGGUUAAAAUGCGCGAAGAGAACUUCAUCCCAAGAUCUGUCGAAGAGCAUCUUCAGGUCUCGGCAAGGACUUGUGCAUGCCAUUUGUUGGCUUGCACUUCACUGGUCGGAAUGGAUGAUAUAGCAACAAAGGAUUCUUUUGAAUGGAUUUCGACUGUGCCUAAAAUUGUGCAGAAGCUUUGCAUAAUUGUUAGACUAUUAGAUGAUAUCAUGACCUAUGAGCGAGAGCAGAUGACGCCUCAUGUUGCUUCGACAAUGGAUAGCUACAUGAAACAACACAAUGUCUCGAUUGAAAUAGCACGUCACAAGAUACAAGAGCUAAAGGAGGAGUCAUGGAAAGAUUUCAAUGGUGAGUGGCUAGAGCCUGAUAUUGACCAACCGAGGAAGUUAAUUGAGGCGAUAUUUAACCUCACAAGAACAAUGGAGUUCAUGUAUAACAAAGACGAUAACUUUACUAACUGUAGCAACCUCAAGGAUAUCAUCCAAUCAUUAUUUGUGGAGACUUUUUGA
rnacentral:rRNA from 1 species